rnacentral:piRNA from 1 species
UGCCUGACUUUCUGGGAAACCCCCCUC